UGCAGUCGUGCGAGAAAUAUCUUCGGAUAUGAGUAGAGCGGCGAACGGGUGAGUAACGCGUAGGAAUGUACCUAGUAGAAGGGGAUAGCCCGAGGAAACUCGGAUUAAUACCGUAUACCUCCUUCGGGAGAAAGAGGGCCUCUCUUUGAAGCUUUCGCUAUUAGAUCAGCCUGCGUAAGAUUAGCUUGUUGGUGAGGUAAUGGCUCACCAAGGCUACGAUCUUUAGCUGGUCUGAGAGGACGAUCAGCCACAUUGGGACUGAGACACGGCCCAGACUCCUACGGGAGGCAGCAGUGGGGAAUAUUGGACAAUGGGCGCAAGCCUGAUCCAGCCAUACCGCGUGUGUGAAGAAGGCCUUCGGGUUGUAAAGCACUUUAAGCAGGGAGAAAAAAAUAUAGGUUAAUACCCUAUAUUCUUGAUGUUACCUGCAGAAUAAGCACCGGCUAAUUCCGUGCCAGCAGCCGCGGUAAUACGGAAGGUGCAAGCGUUAAUCGGAAUUACUGGGCGUAAAGCGCGCGUAGGUGGUUUGUUAAGUUGGAUGUGAAAGCCCUGGGCUCAACCUAGGAACUGCAUCCAAAACUGGCUAACUAGAGUACGAUAGAGGGAGGUAGAAUUCAUAGUGUAGCGGUGGAAUGCGUAGAUAUUAUGAAGAAUACCAGUGGCGAAGGCGGCCUCCUGGAUCUGUACUGACACUGAGGUGCGAAAGCGUGGGUAGCGAACAGGAUUAGAUA
rnacentral:rRNA from 1 species